rnacentral:lncRNA from 1 species
UAAAGCUUUCCCUCAUGCAAUAUGUACCAGGUGGCGGAGCGCUUUAUUCGGCGAGCCUCUCGUUCAUCACUGGGGAGGACUUCAUCUUGCAGAUAGCUGAUGAGCUCGUCCAUCCAGCUUGGCUCAAACUCAAUAAAAAGGGCCUGCUCGGGCUCCUCCGUACUGGAUUUUUGGAGAUACUCCAGUGCCGUCAUUUUGGGGAGCUCGCUCAUGCGAGAGGACGCCAGCUUUGACAGCUGGUCAGCCCUAAGAUUCUCCGACCUGGCAAAAUGUUGGAUAUGGAAAGAAUUCAAGGUCGAGGCGAGAUCCCAUACCUUCUGAAGAUAUUUCUGCAUUGUGGGGUCUCUGGC